rnacentral:rRNA from 1 species
GUCUACGGCCAUAGCACCCUGAACAUGCCCGAUCUCGCCUGAUCUCGGAAGCUAAGCAGGGUCGGGCCUGGUUAGUACUUGAAUGGGAGAACAUCUAGGAAGACCAGGUGCUGUAGGCG